CCAUGCAAGUCGAACGGAGUUCUUCGGAACUUAGUGGCGGACGGGUGAGUAANACGNUGAAGAACCUACCUUCAGAAUGGGGACAACAGUUGGAAACGACUGCUAAUACCCAAUGUGCCGAAAGGUGAAAGAUUUAUCGUCUGAAGAUGGGCUCGCGUCUGAUUAGCUAGAUGGUGGGGUAAGAGCCUACCAUGGCAACGAUCAGUAGCUGGUCUGAGAGGAUGAGCAGCCACACUGGGACUGAGACACGGCCCAGACUCCUACGGGAGGCAGCAGUGGGGAAUUUUCCGCAAUGGGCGAAAGCCUGACGGAGCAAUACCGCGUGAGGGAGGAAGGUCCUUGGAUUGUAAACCUCUUUUAUCAGGGAAGAAGUUCUGACGGUACCUGAUUAAUAAGCAUCGGCUAACUCCGUGCCAGCAGCCGCGGUAAUACGGAGGAUGCAAGCGUUAUCCGGAAUUAUUGGGCGUAAAGCGUCCGUAGGUGGUUAUGCAAGUCUGCCGUUAAAGAAUGGAGCUUAACUCCAUAAGAGCGGUGGAAACUGCAAGACUAGAGUACAGUAGGGGUAGCAGGAAUUCCCAGUGUAGCGGUGAAAUGCGUAGAUAUUGGGAAGAACAUCGGUGGCGAAAGCGUGCUACUGGGCUGAAACUGACACUGAGGGACGAAAGCUAGGGUAGCGAAAGGGAUUAGAUACCCCUGUAGUCCUAGCCGUAAACGAUGGAUACUAGGCGUGGCUUGUAUCGACCCGAGCCGUGCCGAAGCUAACGCGUUAAGUAUCCCGCCUGGGGAGUACGCACGCAAGUGUGAAACUCAAAGGAAUUGACGGGGGGCCCGCACAAGCGGUGGGAGUAUGUGGUUUAAUUCGAUGCAACGCGAAGAACCUUUACCAAGGCUUGACAUCCCCUGGAAUCCU
rnacentral:rRNA from 1 species